rnacentral:rRNA from 1 species
AUCCAGCCAUGCCGCGUGCAGGAUGACGGUCCUAUGGAUUGUAAACUGCUUUUAUACGAGAAGAAACACUCCUUCGUGAAGGAGCUUGACGGUAUCGUAAGAAUAAGGAUCGGCUAACUCCGUGCCAGCAGCCGCGGUAAUACGGAGGAUCCAAGCGUUAUCCGGAAUCAUUGGGUUUAAAGGGUCCGUAGGCGGUUUAAUAAGUCAGUGGUGAAAGCCCAUCGCUCAACGGUGGAACGGCCAUUGAUACUGUUAGACUUGAAUUAUUAGGAAGUAACUAGAAUAUGUAGUGUAGCGGUGAAAUGCUUAGAGAUUACAUGGAAUACCAAUUGCGAAGGCAGGUUACUACUAAUUGAUUGACGCUGAUGGACGAAAGCGUGGGUAGCGAACAGGAUUAGAUACCCUGGUAGUCCACGCCGUAAACGAUGGAUACUAGCUGUUGGAAGCAAUUUCAGUGGCUAAGCGAAAGUGAUAAGUAUCCCACCU